rnacentral:rRNA from 1 species
AAGGAUCAUUACAGAGUUCAUGCCCUUACGGGUAGAUCUCCCACCCUUGAAUACCAUACCUUAGUUGCUUUGGCAGGCCGUGGAAACACCAUGGGCUCCGGCUUAUGCGUGCCUGCCAGGGGAAUCAAAAUUCUGUUUUUAGUGAUGUCUGAGUACUAUAUAAUAGUUAAAACUUUCAACAACGGAUCUCUUGGUUCUGGCAUCGAUGAAGAACGCAGCGAAAUGCGAUAAGUAAUGUGAAUUGCAGAAUUCAGUGAAUCAUCGAAUCUUUGAACGCACAUUGCGCCCCGUGGUAUUCCGCGGGGCAUGCCUGUUCGAGCGUCAUUUCAACCAAUCAAGCCUCGGCUUGGUAUUGGGGCCUGCGCCUGCGCAGCCCUUAAACCCAGUGGCGGUGCUAUUGAGCUCUGAGCGUAGUAAAUCUCCUCGCUAUAGGGUCUCGGUAGUUGCUUGCCAACAACCCCCAAAUUCUUUCAGGUUGACCUCGGAUCAGGUAGGGAUACCCGCUGAACUUAA